rnacentral:rRNA from 1 species
GAUGAACGCUGGCGGCAUGCUUUAUACAUGCAAGUCGGACGGGCAGAGGUGUUUCUAGUUGCGGACGGGUGAGUAACGCGUAAGAACCUGCCCCUGGGAGGGGAACCAUAGCUGGCAACGGUUGCUAAUACCCCGCAGGCCGAGGACCGAAUGGAGGAUUCCGCCCCAGGAGGGGAUCGCGUCUGACUAGCUAGUUGGAGCGGUUAUAGCUGACCAGGGCCGUGAACAGGAGCUGGUCCGAGAGGGUGAUCGGCCACACUGGGACGGAGACAAGGCCCAGACUCGUACGGGAGAUGGGAGUAGGGAAGUUGCCGCAAUGGGGGAAAAGCUAAGGAGGCAAUGGCGCGUGGAGGUAAAGGGCCUAGGGAUCAAGAACUUCGUAAGCUAGAGAAGAAACAAUGACGGUAUCUGGGGAAAAAGCAUCGGCUAACUCUGUG